rnacentral:rRNA from 1 species
AGCGAACGCUGGCGGCAGGCCUAACACAUGCAAGUCGAACGAACCCUUCGGGGUUAGUGGCGGACGGGUGAGUAACACGUGGGAACGUGCCUUUAGGUUCGGAAUAACUCAGGGAAACUUGUGCUAAUACCGAAUGUGCCCUUCGGGGGAAAGAUUUAUCGCCUUAGAGCGGCCCGUGUCUGAUUAGCUAGUUGGUGAGGUAAUGGCUCACCAAGGCUACGACCAGUAGCUGGUCUGAGAGGAUGACCAGCCACAUUGGGACUGAGACACGGCCCAAACUCCUACGGGAGGCAGCAGUGGGGAAUCUUGCGCAAUGGGCGAAAGCCUGACGCAGCCAUGCCGCGUGGAUGAUGAAGGUCUUAGGAUUGUAAAAUCCUUUCACCGGUGAAGAUAAUGACUGUAGCCGGAGAAGAAGCCCCGGCUAACUUCGUGCCAGCCGCCGCCGUAAAAC